UACGGAGGAUGCAAGCGUUAUCCGGAAUGAUUGGGCGUAAAGCGUCCGCAGGUGGCUAUGUAAGUCUGCUGUUAAAGAGUGAGGCUCAACCUCAUAAGAGCAGUGGAAACUACAUAGCUAGAGUGCGUUCGGGGCAGAGGGAAUUCCUGGUGUAGCGGUGAAAUGCGUAGAUAUCAGGAAGAACACCGGUGGCGAAAGCGCUCUGCUAGGCCGCAACUGACACUGAGGGACGAAAGCUAGGGGAGCGAACGGG
rnacentral:rRNA from 1 species